GGGCCCGUGGUCUAGCGGCUAUGACAUCUCGUUGACGUCGAGGGGAUCCCCGGUUCGAAAGUUGAACUGGCGUUUAACAUUAAGAAAACACCGUUUUGCGGAAGUCCGGGCGGGCCCA
rnacentral:tRNA from 1 species